rnacentral:rRNA from 1 species
CACGUGGGAACUUGUCCUUAGGUGGGGAACAACCGCUGGAAACGGCGGCUAAUACCGCAUGAUCCCUGAGGGGCAAAGGCUUCGGCCGCCUAAGGAGGGGCCCGCGUCCGAUUAGCUUGUUGGUGGGGUAAUGGCCUACCAAGGCUUCGAUCGGUAGCUGGUCUGAGAGGACGAUCAGCCACACUGGGACUGAGACACGGCCCAGACUCCUACGGGAGGCAGCAGUGGGGAAUAUUGGACAAUGGGGGAAACCCUGAUCCAGCAAUGCCGCGUGAGUGAUGAAGGCCUUAGGGUUGUAAAGCUCUUUCGCCUGAGACGAUGAUGACGGUAUCAGGAGAAGAAGCCCCGGCUAAUUCCGUG